AGGUUAAUUUCCAGAGAAUAGAUUUUGUGGAGGAGAAAUACAUGGCAUAUAGUUCACAGUACAACGUUAUGUUUUACAUCUAAUAGCAACCACCAACAUAUGAUCUCCAUCUUCUACAUAUACAUUUUCGCUGCCAUUUUAACAAAUAAAUCUUCAAGUUGGAACUUAUUUACAAGAAAUGUUAUU
rnacentral:sRNA from 1 species